GGGGUUGUGGCUUAGUGGUAGAGCGCUUGCCUAGCAUGUAUGAGGCACUGGGUUCAAUCCUCAGCACCACA
rnacentral:tRNA from 1 species